UUGACUCCAUCGCAGCCGCCCGCCCGCACUGCUCUCCAGCCGAGGUUUCUUUUUAGUAAAUCCAGCCGAGGUAAUUUAUUCCCCCUGCCAACUGGUUUUUUACGAUGCGCUUUAGCCAUUUUGGAGCUCACCCCACUCCCCACAAUUUCUAAAACUAUUGGGAGCGGAAACGGCGAGCGGUUUGGAGGUGAGCGGCGGUAGGUUUCGGCGGCGAGCCGACGGCAGUUGCGGGUGGAUUUGGGUGUGGGCGACGCCGAAGGUGGCCCCGUUGGCUGGCUGCAGCGUUUCCAGAGGCUUCCCGGCGUGUGGCAGCCUCGUCGCCCGGCGGCCGUGCCAUGAGACCAUGACCCGCCUCCACCCUCCGCUCCCUUCGUUGCGCUGGCGAUGGCCCGGCCUGCCUUGCCAUUCCCCGCCCCCGAGCUCCUGCCAUGUCCUGUCGUCGUCGCACCGGCGCCGGAACCCAUCCCACUUUUCUCUUUUUGUUGCGCACAGCAGUAGGAGGUCUCCGUUUGGAGCCAGGGUCGCGGCCCCCUACCUCCGACCAGCGAAAGCAGACCCCGCGUAAGAUGCGCGGUUGCAGCAGCAACAUCUAUUCCACGCCCUUACUUCUUCAACCAGCUGGACGAGGCUCCAUGGCCUUCAUGCCCUAGCUGCUGCCCUCUGGUCUGGUUUUUCUCUUUUCCUCUUUCCUUCUCUCCCUCUGUAUGUGUGUGCAUGCGUGCGUCUGUGUUCUUCUUAUUAGUCAUUACUGAAGUUUAGAUUGAUUGGUGUUAUGCAGGACGAGUAUUGUGCAGGAAGCCCAGGAGUCAAUUUAUAUCUUAUCUGACCAUCUUAGAUAUUUCCUUAUUUCUUAGGUUUGUGAUUUGGCUUUGGCCUGUGUAUAAGUUUAUUCCCAAUUAGGAAUCCACUACUGUACCACGGUAGCAUUUAUCUCAUUCUGAAUCUCAAAGGUAUUUUAGAAAUCCCAUAUUAAUCAUUUAAUUUAUGACAUAGUUGGAUAAUCAUGAAACAAAAUUUGUUGAUUUGAUGGUUGCAAACCUAUAUUUUUCCAUCUUUCAAAUGCCAUGUAAUGUUUCUCAUAGGCUCGACAUAUACAUAUUGGCCUAAAUCUGCAUUUGUGUUUGGUUGUCUAUCUAAAUUCAGUUUCUUCCAUUAAUUUUGAUGGUGUAUUUCUCCCAGAACUUAGAUAUACAGUUGUUAGCUGAAUUUAAUCGUAGAAUGACGAUCUUCUUUCCAUGUCAUGCAAAAACAGCAACCUUCUCUUUUUUAUGUUGUUAUUUAAAAAAUGUUCCACGUAUACUGUUGUUAGCUGAAUUUAAUUGGGGACUGAUCUGGUUUCCAUGCCAGGAGCAUGUAUUGAUUUAUUCUCCCAUGGGAAGUAUCUGCUCCAUGCUCCAGUUUGGUCAAAUUUAGUAAGAAAUUCAGUUAGCUGAAUUUAGAUAGAUUGCCCAUAUGCAGAGGUGAGGCAUUGUAAUUUUUAUUUUGAUCUCAGCCCCGUAUUUAUUUGUUUAUUAGGGCAUAGCUAUCCUACAAGCUAAAUACUCGUUUCAAGCCGAGAUGAUCUUGUCGCUACCUUCCCCUCUCCAUAAUACACGAUCGCCAGUGACACCUGCAUCAACGACGACGACUGCCUGGUUCUCUCCUGUAAGUAUUCCUCCAUCAUCCUCUUUUUUCUCUUCCUCUUCCUCGUCUGAAAAUAUAGGUUCUGAGAUUUCUAUCUCUCCCAGGCUCCCCUCCUCCUGAUUCUUUUAUUGGGUUAUGUUAGAUGUUUGUAAAAUUGACAAGAGUUUUUGGUAAAAAAAAAAUUACUGUUGUUUAGGCACCAUGCCACUGCUAAGAUUAUUGUAGUACCUUCAAUAUUGCCCCCUCCUUUUUCUGCAAAAUGUGUAAAUGUAGUUAAGAGUACGGAAAACAUGAGAUCUUUGUUUAAAAAACCUUCAGACAUCUUUGUUUUUGGGUAUCAAAGUUCAGUGUUAUUGCUGCUCUGACAUAGUGUUUUCAUGGUGAAAAAGUGGACUGCUAAUGAAGAAAUAUAAAUUUUGUCAAAUGAGUAGAAAGUGUUUAAAUUCAGCAACUGUCUACAUUUCAACAAAUAAAGUGAUGCAAGGUAUUCAGGUUUCUGCUACCAACGAGAAUUUACAUGAGUUUUGGCAUUAACUUACUGCUUAAUUGUUGUCGUGCUGAUUGUUUCUCUUUGGUUUCAGAAGCAUAUGUACUGUUGGACUGUUCAUAAACUAUUUGACUACGGAUUUCCAUGGGAUCACAUCUCAAUCUACCUCAUGUUGAUGCACUGUCAAAAUUAAUUCAGUACUAUUUUUGUCGUAUUUUUGGCUAAAAUACCACCCAUCCCUUGACUGUAUGUUCUUUCAUAUGUACUAUAAUCUGGAAGCAUAAUUAAAAUAUUUUCUUUUAAGUUGAUGGUCAUUAUUUUGCAGCUGAAGGUUUAUAUGAUAUGUGCAUAAUCGUAUAAAAAGUGUUCAACUACUUGUAUGCACUAGUCGAUUUUUUGAACAAUGUUUGACUUAUUAGUUCAUCCGAAAUAGACAUGGACUCUGUCUCAAUAUUUUGUUUCUUCUCAUAUGCUAUUUGUGGUCACCCCAAAAUAUUUUCCACUGAGAUCAGGGUGCCAUUUGGAAGCAAUGCAAACCUUGCAUGUAUGAGCAAUUUCAGGUCUCAAUACUUUGAUAGUGACAUAAAGCUACCUAUCGCCAACUUUUUGUGUUCAGAUCUGAGACAAAUAACCAAGAGAAAGGAAGAAGGCAAGGUAUGUGCCCACUAACUCCUAACGAGGUAGGGCUAUUGUUGGGAGCAUUAGGCCACGGAAGCAAUGUCCAUAUUUAUGCUGCUUCUAGCAAGGUGGAGAAGAUACUUUACCAGUCCUCAAAGCGCUCUAUUCAUAUUUCCAUACAGAAGGAUCAUUGUCAAGUAAAGAUGAGUUGACUCCAUUUUUGCCACACUCAUCUCUCAUGACUUCAAUCGAUUUCAUUUUCUAUGAUGGAAUUGAUUCUGACAAUAAUGGCAACAUGGCCAGAAUACUUGCUAUUGCUGGACCAAGGUGCGAGUAGUCCAGAAAGGAUCUAUGGGACAUUCCAUGGAAGUCAUAACAGAAGAGGCGAAUUCUAUGCCAACCCUACUGCCUCUUCUGUUAUGAGAAGAAACAAAAUAUUCACAAUGGAGGAAAGACUAAAGAUGACCCCUGGAGGAGCGAAGAAUUCCGAAGAUGAUCCCACCAGGACAAAAGUGGUGAUUGAUAUUGGGGCUGGAGAUGAUUCUUUUGUCAGAUAGGAGGUUUCUGAGCUAGAGGAAAUCCUGAUUAGUUGAGUUAUUUUGCAACUCAAAGAAAUUUGUUAAAGUUAUUUGCAUAGAAGUGGUGUAUGUGGUAUACUAAAAAUUCAGAAAAUUUCUGAUUUUAUUUGGUUGGAUUUUGGUGUAUGCAUGAACUUUCCUUCUUAUUAUAGUGUAUUGCAUCU